rnacentral:rRNA from 1 species
GAUGAACGCUGGCGGCGUGCCUAAUACAUGCAAGUCGAGCGAAUGGAUUAAGAGCCUGCUCUUAUGAAGUUAGCGGCGGACGGGUGAGUAACACGUGGGUAACCUGCCCAUAAGACUGGGAUAACUCCGGGAAACCGGGGCUAAUACCGGAUAACAUUGUGAACCGCAUGGUUCGAAAUUGAAAGGCGGCUUCGGCUGUCACUUAUGGAUGGACCCGCGUCGCAUUAGCUAGUUGAUGAGGUAACGGCGCACCAAGGCAACGAUGCGUAGCCGACCUGAGAGGGUGAUCGGCCACACUGGGACUGAGACACGGCCCAGACUCCUACGGGAGGCAGCAGUAGGGAAUCUUCCGCAAUGGACGAAAGUCUAACGGAGCAACGCCGCGUGAGUGAUGAAGGCUUUCGGGUCGUAAAACUCUGUUGUUAGGGAAGAACAAGUGCUAGUUGAAUAAGCUGGCACCUUGACGGUACCUAACCAGAAAGCCACGGCUAACUACGUGCCAGCCGCCGCCGUAA